AACGAACGCUGGCGGCAUGCCUAGCACAUGCAAGUCGAACGAGACCUUCGGGUCUAGUGGCGCACGGGUGCGUAACGCGUGGGAACCUGCCCUUAGGUUCGGAAUAACUCCCCGAAAGGGGUGCUAAUACCGGAUAAUGUCUUCGGACCAAAGAUUUAUCGCCUUUGGAUGGGCCCGCGUUGGAUUAGCUAGUUGGUAGGGUAAAAGCCUACCAAGGCGACGAUCCAUAGCUGGUCUGAGAGGAUGAUCAGCCACACUGGGACUGAGACACGGCCCAGACUCCUACGGGAGGCAGCAGUGGGGAAUAUUGGACAAUGGGCGAAAGCCUGAUCCAGCAAUGCCGCGUGAGUGAUGAAAGCCUUAGGGUUGUAAAGCUCUUUUACCCGGGAUGAUAAUGACAGUACCGGGAGAAUAAGCUCCGGCUAACUCCGUG
rnacentral:rRNA from 1 species